rnacentral:rRNA from 1 species
GACGAACGCUGGCGGCGUGCUUAACACAUGCAAGUCGAACGGAAAGGCCCUUUCGGGGGUACUCGAGUGGCGAACGGGUGAGUAACACGUGGGUGAUCUGCCCUGCACUUUGGGAUAAGCCUGGGAAACUGGGUCUAAUACCGGAUAGGACUACGCGAUGCAUGUCGUGUGGUGGAAAGCUUUUGCGGUGUGGGAUGGGCCCGCGGCCUAUCAGCUUGUUGGUGAGGUUAUGGCUUACCAAGGCGACGACGGGUAGCCGGCCUGAGAGGGUGACCGGCCACACUGGGACUGAGAUACGGCCCAGACUCCUACGGGAGGCAGCAGUGGGGAAUAUUGCACAAUGGGCGCAAGCCUGAUGCAGCGACGCCGCGUGGGGGAUGACGGCCUUCGGGUUGUAAACCUCUUUCGCCAGGGACGAAGCGCAAGUGACGGUACCUGGAGAAGAAGGACCGGCCAACUACGUGCCAGCAGCCGCGGUAAUACGUAGGGUCCGAGCGUUGUCCGGAAUUACUGGGCGUAAAGAGCUCGUAGGUGGUUUGUCGCGUUGUUCGUGAAAACUCACAGCUCAACUGUGGGCGUGCGGGCGAUACGGGCAGACUUGAGUACUGCAGGGGGAGACUGGAAUUCCUGGUGUAGCGGUGGAAUGCGCAGAUAUCAGGAGGAACACCGGUGGCGAAGGCGGGUCUCUGGGCAGUAACUGACGCUGAGGAGCGAAAGCGUGGGGAGCGAACAGGAUUAGAUACCCUGGUAGUCCACGCCGUAAACGGUGGGUACUAGGUGUGGGUUUCCUUCCUUGGGAUCCGUGCCGUAGCUAACGCAUUAAGUACCCCGCCUGGGGAGUACGGCCGCAAGGCUAAAACUCAAAGAAAUUGACGGGGGCCCGCACAAGCGGCGGAGCAUGUGGAUUAAUUCGAUGCAACGCGAAGAACCUUACCUGGGUUUGACAUGCACAGGACGUGCCUAGAGAUAGGUAUUCCCUUGUGGCCUGUGUGCAGGUGGUGCAUGGCUGUCGUCAGCUCGUGUCGUGAGAUGUUGGGUUAAGUCCCGCAACGAGCGCAACCCUUAUCUUAUGUUGCCAGCGCGUUAUGGCGGGGACUCGUGAGAGACUGCCGGGGUCAACUCGGAGGAAGGUGGGGAUGACGUCAAGUCAUCAUGCCCCUUAUGUCCAGGGCUUCACACAUGCUACAAUGGCCGGUACAAAGGGCUGCGAUGCCGUGAGGUGGAGCGAAUCCUUUCAAAGCCGGUCUCAGUUCGGAUCGGGGUCUGCAACUCGACCCCGUGAAGUCGGAGUCGCUAGUAAUCGCAGAUCAGCAACGCUGCGGUGAAUACGUUCCCGGGCCUUGCACACACCGC